GUGCUCACUUAUGGCAGCAGAUAUGCUAACAUCAGAAGGAUACAGAGAUUGUUAGCAUGGCCCCUGUGAAAGGAUGGCAUGCAAAUGCUUGAAGCGUUCCAUUAUUUU